rnacentral:lncRNA from 1 species
GCAAAAAUCACACAGUAGAAACAAAAUAGUUUAAAGGCCAAUAACAGAGCAGAAAAAAAACUAAAACCAAAGAAACAAACAGCCACAAAACAAAAACAUUAGCAGGAAAAACCCAAAAUGGAUACCAGCCAAAAGCCUUACGAUUGAAAAAACCCAUUCAAAGCUCGAAGGGGCCGAAAGAAGGUAGCUUUGAAGCCAGCAAUGGAGAUUCAAACUGAACCUUCUCCAACCUUCAAAGCUCAGAAAACCCUUAACGAUGAUGAAACCAUGCAGACUGAUCCAUCUCUACUAGCUUUGCAACAGGAUCCGGAGCUUCCUCAACCCAGAAACAAGAGGUGUUUCGAUGGCGUCCAUCCAUUGCCAAAGCGUGCGCCGCCCUAUUAACCUCUCUGGGAACAAAACGGUACACAACGUUAUCAAAAGCUCUCUAAUAAUUGAAUAUUUUGCGUAAUCGAUCUAAGGAUAGAUCUGUCCUCUUUGGUCGAGUUUAAUUUUUUGAUAGUUGUCAGGGAGUCUCCUUCCAAGAUAAGUUUACUGAAGCCCAUAUCCUACGCAAAAUAAAGAGCCCUUUCACACAUACGCAUUUCUACAACAAGCACCCAUAAUCUGGCCUUCCGCAUCUCUAGCUAGGACUGCUACAAUAGAUACAUUAGUGUUGCUCAUAAAAGAAGCAUCAAAGUUCAGUUUAAUAUUUCUAACUGUAGGUGGUUGCCACAAAACGUUCAUUGCUACUUCCAGAGGAGAGACAAUAACUUUACUACUGCUAAAAUCCUGAGCAUAGCUCAGAAUAAAGCCCAUAAGUUCACGUAUCCUGAAGUUAAGUCCCUCAUUUACCAACUUAUUCCUUUUAUACCAAAGAGCCCACAAAGAAAUAGUAAUGAGUUUCUUGGACAACAUAUCAGCAGCUAGAAAAUUAUUACAAAUUGUGUUUUCCAUUCGAGGUAUCAAUGCUGGAGUCGAAAGAGAGAUUCAAAAGAACCCAGAGUUGUCUCAAGACGCUACAAGUCCAAAAUAAGUGAUGUGAAUCCUUUGGAGCCUCAUUGCACAAAGGACAGGUAGUAUCAACUCGCAGUCUCCGUUUGGCCAAAUUACAGAAAUGAGGCACAUAAUUUUUUAGGAUACGCCAUAGAUGAAUUUUAAUUUUAGCAGGGAGCUACAAGCCCCAAGUUGAUGUAUAAAGUGUUUUGUAAUUAUCCGAUGAGGCCAAAAUACCAUCUUUAAAUUGGGUCAUUUUUGUAAGUAAUGUUCGGUAGCCGCUCUUAACCGAAAACUCCCCAGAAGCAUCAUGGCGCAAGACCAAUGUAUCCUGAGCAUUACAACCCGUAAGAGGAAUAGUAAGGAUGCGCCUAACCUGUUCAUCAUCAACAAUCUUGCAAAUUACAGCCUUGUUCCAGGUACCAGUGUUAGCAUUAAUUAACUGAUCAACAGUUGUCCAGUGAGUAUCUAUAGCCUGUACUAACAAUCUACCAUUCCAAGGACCAAGCAACCAGGGGUCAUUCCAGAUGUUCACCUUCGUACCACAGCCAAUUCGCCGCAGAAGUCCAUCAUCAAACAGCUCCCUCACACAGCAGAUACUUCUCCAGGUAAAAGAAGGGUAAGAGCCGAUUUUAGUUCACAAAAUAUCAGUGAAUGGAUAAUAACGAGAUUUAAGAACUUUAGAUAAAAGACAAUCGGACUGCGAUAAAAGACGCCAAACUUGCUUAGCUAAAAGAGAUUUAUUAAAUAAAUAAAGAUCCCAAAAACCCAGCCUACCAUUAACCUUUGGCAAACAUAGUGCACUCCAGGUACUCUAGUGAAUUCCUUUCGCAGAUUUACUGUUUGACCACCAAAAUUUAUUCAUAAUACGAUGACAUUAUUCUUUUGGCAAUGCAAAACAUUGCAUAACAUAAACCAAUAUUGCUUGUAAAACUGCCUUUAUAAAAACCUCUUUACCACCCAUUGAAAGGUACCUAAAGCUCCACCUCUCUAUACGCCGUCGAAACCUGUCAACAAAAUUUGCAAAUGCCUUUUUUUUUCUACCCAAUUAUCAUGGGUAAACCCGAAUACUUUUCAGGGUUCAUUGACAUCCUAACACCCAGAGUGUUAAUAAUAAAAUUCCUAUCCUCAGCCCCCACACAAGCACCAAAAUAAAUGAGUGACUUGUCCAAAUUAAUUUGUUGUCCUGAUGGAAAUUCAUAUUCCAAAAGGAUCUUGCUUACAAUGUGUGCCCGUUCAGCCGAAGCAUCACCAAAAAUGAUGCAAUCAUUUUCAAACAACAAGUGGGUAAUCGCUAACUUACCCCUACCAAUCAAAACUCAUCGCAUUGUAUGAUUACGCUUAGCCAUUUUCAAUAAAGAAGAAAGACCUUCCGCACAAAGAAGAAAAAGGUAAGGGUUAAGCUGGUCGCCUUGCCUUAGUCCUUUCGACGGAGUAAAAUGAUCACUAACAUCCUCAUUAAUACCCACUAUAUAUGUAACCAAGCAAACACACCGCAUAAUGAGAACAAUCCAAUUUUGAUGAAAAUUCAGUCUAGACAUCAUUCCAGCCAAAAAAUCUCAUUCCACCCGGUCAUACGCUUUGCUAAGGUUAAGUUUAAGCGCAAAAUUCUCGUUUUUAUUCUUUUUCUUUAUCUUAAGAGAAUGAAGCACCUCAUAGGCAAUUAAUGUAUUGUCUGAUAUAUGCCUCCCGGGAAUAAAAGCACCCUGAGAUUCAUCAAUACAAUAUUUUAGAAUUGGACUCAUACGAGCUACCAGUACCUUCGCAAUAAUCUUAUAAAACAUGGUGCAUAAGUUGUAGGCCUAAACUGAGACAGAUUUUUUGGUUUGUCCACUUUGGGGAUGAAAACCAAAUGAGUUCUAUUAAUGUUGCCCAUUUCAAUUCUGCCAUUUAAAACCUCCAAACAAUAGUUUAAGAUCUCAUCACCUACAAGAUGCCUAAGAAAUAAAUAUGGUUAGUUGGGGAUAAUAUUUGUAUCUUUUUGAAAAUAAAAUAGUUAUUUUAUCCUUUAUUUUUCUUUUAUUUUUUUCUCUCCCUCAAUUUUUCCCACGUUCAAUUGUGGGGUAGUUUUCAUUUUUAUAUUUUUCCCUUUUUUCCUUCCUUUAUUUAUACAUCUGUUCUUCUUUCUCAACUCUUUGGUUCUCUUUUAUUUUCCUUGGUUGCAAGGAUUGUUCUCUUACAUUCUUGUCAAUACUGGUUGAGUUCCUUUGUUUCGGUUGUGGGCUUAAAUCGUAGAG